rnacentral:rRNA from 1 species
UACAGAGGUCUCAAGCGUUGUUCGGAUUCAUUGGGCGUAAAGGGUGCGUAGGUGGCGCGGUAAGUCGGGUGUGAAAUUUCGGAGCUUAACUCCGAAACUGCAUUCGAUACUGGCGUGCUUGAGGACUGGAGAGGAGACUGGAAUUCAUGGUGUAGCAGUGAAAUGCGUAGAGAUCAUGAGGAAGACCAGUGGCGAAGGCGGGUCUCUGGACAGUUCCUGACGCUGAGGCACGAAGGUCAGGGGAGCAAACGGG